rnacentral:rRNA from 1 species
AACGAACGCUGGCGGCAUGCCUAACACAUGCAAGUCGAACGAGACCUUCGGGUUUAGUGGCGCACGGGUGCGUAACGCGUGGGAACCUGCCCUUAGGUUCGGAAUAACUCCCCGAAAGGGGUGCUAAUACCGGAUAAUGUCUUCGGACCAAAGAUUUAUCGCCUUUGGAUGGGCCCGCGUUGGAUUAGCUAGUUGGUAGGGUAAAAGCCUACCAAGGCGACGAUCCAUAGCUGGUCUGAGAGGAUGAUCAGCCACACUGGGACUGAGACACGGCCCAGACUCCUACGGGAGGCAGCAGUGGGGAAUAUAGGACAAUGGACGAAGGCCUGAUCCAGCAAUGCCGCGUGAGUGAUGAAGGCCUUAGGGUUGUAAAGCUCUUUUACCCGGGAUGAUAAUGACAGUACCGGGAGAAUAAGCUCCGGCUAACUCCGUG